UCUGGUGUCAGCCGCCGCGGUAAAACCAGCACCUCAAGUGGUCAGGAUGAUUAUUGGGCCUAAAGCAUCCGUAGCCUGCUUUGUUAGUUUUCGGUUAAAUCCAUAUGCUCAACGUAUGGGCUGCCGGGAAUACUGCAAAGCUAGGGAGUGGGAGAGGUAGACGGUACUCGGUAGGAAGGGGUAAAAUCCUUUGAUCUAUUGAUGACCACCUGUGGCGAAGGCGGUCUACCAGAACACGUCCGACGGUGAGGGAUGAAAGCUGGGGGAGCAAACCGGAUUAGAUACCCGGGUAGUCCCAGCUGUAAACUAUGCAAACUCGGUGAUGCAUUGGCUUGAUGCCAAUGCAGUGCCGCAGGGAAGCCGUUAAGUUUGCCGCCUGGGAAGUACGUACGCAAGUAUGAAACUUAAAGGAAUUGGCGGGGGAGCACCACAAGGGGUGAAGCCUGCGGUUCAAUUGGAGUCAACGCCAGAAAUCUUACCCGGAGAGACAGCAGAAUGAAGGUCAAGCUGAAGACUUUACCAGACAAGCU
rnacentral:rRNA from 2 species